rnacentral:rRNA from 1 species
AUUGAACGCUGGCGGCAGGCUUAACACAUGCAAGUCGAGCGAGCGGCGGACGGGUGAGUAAUGUCUGGGAAACUGCCUGAUGGAGGGGGAUAACUACUGGAAACGGUAGCUAAUACCGCAUACCAUCAGAUGUGCCCAGAUGGGAUUAGCUAGUAGGUGGGGUAAAGGCUCACCUAGGCGACGAUCUCUAGCUGGUCGGAGAGGAUGACCAGCCACCCGGGCACGGAGCCACGGCCCAGACUCCUACGGUAGGCAGCAGUGGGGAAUAUUGCACAAUGGGCGCAAGCCUGAUGCAGCCGUGCCGCGUGUGAGAAGAAGGCCUUAGGGUUGUAAAGUACUUUCAGCGGGGAGGCGUUACCCGCAGAAGAAGCACCGGCUAACUCCGUGCCAGCAGCCGCGGUAAUAC